AACUGGUCCAAGUGCAGUGGCAUUUACAAUUAAUUGAUCACAAAUAAAUUACAGAUUUCUUUGUUUCUUUCCUCAGUCCCACUGCUUUUCUUGAUUUGCCUUUA
rnacentral:Y_RNA from 1 species